ACCUGAAACUAAUAUAAUAUUGUAUAUCAACUAUAAUCGAAAACAUUUUUUAAUGUAAUAAGUAUUAACUAUAUUUUUUAUAAUUUCCUCAAAAAAAUGAUGCAAGGUUUGUAUCAGCUAAUGUGUAAAAAAGUCUAGCAUAAAAUCUGGCUCAAAAUAGGUGUUCAAUAAAUGCCAGUUUGCUUCAUUUCAUUUCCCCUUCUUAAAGAUUUUGUCUCAGUCCUCAAACACAGAUCAUCAAAGGUGAUCUUGUAAUCUCCAUGAGAUCUCUCUGAAAAAUAAAGAGUACAGUAUUAAUGGAAGCUAUUAUCAUAAGGAGAAAACCUUUUUUUAAUUGGAACAACAACCACGUGUGGAAGUAGAAAACAGAGCCCUAAAGGUUUUUCCAAGGUCUGUAUUUUUAAAAACAAACUUUCAUUUCUCCUUCUAUGUACAGAUAAAACAACUCUUACAGACGACAGAGGAAUGUUUAAAUAAUUUCUAUAAAAAAAUCAUAUGGAAUCUUUAAAAAUAUUACUAGCUUCAAAGUAAGAUUACAAUUUCCCUAAGUAGAUUUUAGAAGAAAUUUCAAAUUGUCCCAAGUGAACAUGGGUUCCUAUUUUACCAACCAAAGAAAAUCUCAGUGGAAUAGAGCAUAUCAGGAAACAAAAACAUUAACCUCUCAUUCAUUUCUACACUGCAAUUUUUAUUUUACUUUGAAAUAGCUAAAAUAGACUUGUUUUAUUAAAUUAAAAUUUUAAGGAAUUAUUUUAGUUCCAAAUUAAGAAAUGAACAAUAAAAUUCAUAGCUUACCCAAGAGGGAAAAACCAUAUGCAACAAGUUAAACUAGUUCUUUUAAAGUUACAACUUCAAUACAAGUUUGUUGGGCAUGCAUCAUAAAACAGUGGAGAUAUACUAGGGAAAUUCCCAAAAGUAUACAACCACAGCAUAAAACUUCCUCCCCUCCACACCCCAUUUAUAUUAGGAACCAUCACUCUUUUAAACCUCUUCACUUGCUCUCCUUGCCACCAGCACUGGUAAAUGACAUUCUUUUCCAAACUAUUUUCACUAAGCAUCUGACGUUUUUCUCUCUUCAAUAUGGCUACUGCCUAUGACCAGAGAGCAAAGUUGUAUUUAGAUAUGAAUGCUGAUGGUUGGCAAGGCUCACUGAUUAGUUAAGUGGCUUGCUCUGACACCGUAGCUUCCAGCAUAUCUUUCCAAAUUCCAAGAAUUCAAUUUGAUUUUUAAAUUUUCUGAAAAUUACUCACAAAGGAACUCUAAAUUACAAUUUUUUUCCCUUCUAACAUUUCCUAUUCUUGUUUCAUAAUGGUCUAUACAGAGGUCCUUACCCCUGACUUUGUGUCAGAAUCAGUUGUAGAGCUUUAUGAAACUACAGAUGACUGAGCCUUACUAAUUCAGCAAGCUCCUUACAACAAACAUCCUCAUUUAAUCCAGAUGCCAUUUUUCCCCCAAUGCCAAAACAACCCAAAAUCAAAUCAAAUCAUAUUUCCUCUUAUUAUGCUUUUGUGAUGGGAGAAAGGCCAUGUAAACAAACUAAUACUAUGAUUCAUUCAUAAAUGAAACUUCCAAGGUCUUACCAGGUAAUACAGGUUCUGCCUGAUACCCAACGAUUACCUCAUACAGCAACAUACUCUACAAGGACAAGGCCCAUCUUAACUCUCUUCUCCAAAAAUCUUCAUACAAGCACAAAAUAAAGAUCUUUCUCUCUUGCCCUGUAGUCACUGUUAAACACUCAUUUAUGCAACAAAUAUUUACUAAAUAUCUAUUAUGGUGCAUUAUUCUAACCAAUGGGGGUAAAAGCAAUUAACAGAAUACAGUCUCUAACUUCAUAAAACCUACAUUUUAAUUUUGCAAGACAUGUGAUAAAUUACUUGUGUAUAUUUGCCACAUAGUGAUAUGUGACAAGGAAAACAAAAAGGAAGAAAUAAGAAGACUGAUCAUGAGGAGGUCUUCCCUGGGUCAAGGAAGGCCUCUAUAUAACAUUUAGAAGACAUCUGAGCAGAAUUUUAAAAGAAAUAAGAGAAGAAAUGAGUCAUGCAGGUAGCUGGGAGAAAAAAUUCUGAAGUCUUUUGCAUAUGAUCCCUUAUAGGACCUAGCUUUUUAUGUCCAAAAACACUUUUAUGAACAAAGAAGAUAAUUUGAAACAAUACUCUGAGACAACUACAUUAUCAGAAGCAGAAAUAUUAACAGAAAUAAGAAUGCACACUAAGCAAAAGAGAUCCUUUCAGUUAAGGCCUGUUGGCUUGUAGCUCUUCAGUCCUCCAAUCGCACAAGGCACUAUGUCUGCCUCUGUGAAAACUGUCUUUUAACUGUCCAAAAUGGUAACCAUUCACAUGUAGCUAUUUGAAUUUGAAUUUAAGUUAAUUAAAACUAAAUAUUCAGUUCCUCAAUCACACUAGCCAUAUUUCAACUGUACAAUAGCCACAUGUGGCUAAUGGCUAAAAUAUUGGACAGAGCAGAUACAGAACAUUUCCAUCAUCUCAGAAAGUUGUACUGUGCAGUACAAAUGGUAAGCUUCAGUAAAUCACAAAUGUUAUCACCAUGCUAUGCUAACUUCUCUUACCACUUUUCUAGGAAAGGAAAAUUCUGCCUUUUAGACUUUUAACUAACAAUAUAAAUCAUAAGGCAAAAGUCCAAAAAUAGACUAAUGAUGAACAAUAUUUUAAGUACUCCCAACCUAGAUGUUUUUCUUACAGUUCACAUUAACAUAUGAAGACAGAAGAGAGAAGCAGCACCAGCAAGUCACAGACCUAGCAACACCUGAUUGCAAAGCAAGAGGAUACGCCCAACUUUCUACCCCACAACCUCAUUUUUCCUACUCCUUCACCUAUAUCUUAAGAAAGAGGGGUAAACUUCUAGUAAUGCCCUUCAAACUAUUUAUGUAAACAAAUAGCAUCAAAAGCCACAAUUUUUUAAUGAUGUAGUUUCUCAAAUUAUUAAAAUGGUGUACAAAUCACAACAACAACAAAACCCACAAAAACCACUUCAGGCAAAACCCACAAAAACACAAAUAUCUCUUCUUUAAACUAAACUCCUAUAUAAGCCAUUAUGACAUUAAAUUCAUCCCCACCUUUUCUCUGGACAAAUUAUAGACAAGACACAUUUUGCAGACAUUUUGACCAACUUAUGACUAAUUACUGUUUCAGAAAACAGUAAUGUGGGAAAAAAGAUGGGCCAAAUAUGCAACAAAAUUAAAUUUUAGGUAACAACUAGACUAGAACAAGCCAAGCAAAUCCACUACAGAAACUGAAAUUUUUUGCAAACUAAUGUAUAAACCGGGUUUCCUUUGAAAAAUUAAGGCAAAAACAUACUUCAUUAUUUUGAAAUUGAAGUUUCAAAUUUAAAAAAAAAAUUCCAUUUCCUACAGUUUACUACAAAUAAGUAUGGUAUAAUUAACAAAGUACUAGCUUAAAAACUGAAUGUUCCUGGAAUAAUUUAAGUUAACCAGCCAAGCAACACUUGACUAGAAGGUAUCAGAGUAUGCCCAGCUUUUCCUUAUGGGAGGGAGGGGAAAGCUGAGAAGCUUACAGUCAAAAGAGCCAACUACUGUAACAACUGAGGAAGCAGAAGCAAUUUUGAAAAAAUAAAUACUAACUAUACUUUUGGUUAGUAAUAUUUUCUUAGUUGUCAAUGUAAGAGAACAAUAAAAACACAUUAUUUCAUUUAGUAAUUUUCACAUUUCUUCUACAUAUAUCUAUACCUAUUCCAAUAAGUGUUUUAGCAUUUUGACUUUAGCAAUGAACUUAUAUGUUUUGCCUCAUUAGUACUACCAAAAAAAGUUGUUUAGGACGCUUAAUCAAUAAUUCUUAUUCUAUGAACAGUUAAAUUGUGGUACACCCAUAUAACAGAAUUCUACUUAACAAUAACGAGAAACAGACUUUUGAUACACCCAACCUGGAUGAAUCUCAAGGAAAUUAUGCUGCAUAAAAAAGGCCAAUCCUAGAAAGUUGAAUACCGUGUAAUUCUGUUUAGUAACCAAUCUUGAAAUGACAAACCUGUAGGGAGAGAGAACGCAUUAGUAGUGGUUGCCAAAGUUUGGGAUUAGAAAAGGGAGGAUGAGAGGAGGGUGUGGUUCUAAUAGGACUGUUCUGUAUAUUGACUGUGGUGGUAGUUACGUAAUCUACACAUGUGAUAACAUUGCAUAGAACGAAUAUACAAAUCAGUACACAUAAAAUGGAGAAAUCUGAAUAAGAUUCAAAUUAUCGAUGUCAUGAUAGUGAACUAUAGUUUGCAAGGCAAUGGCACUGGGAAACUGGGUAAUGGGUACAAGGGAUCUCAACAGUAUUAUUUGUUAAAACUCCAUGUGACCCUAUGGCUAUCUCAAAAUAGAACGUUUGAUAUUUUAAAAAGUGCUACCCUAACGAUUUGGGAGAAUCUGAAUAUGAACUGGAUAUCAGACAAUAUUAGGGAAUGAUUGUUAAUGUGUUAUAUAGGACAAUGUCCUUAUUCUGAGGAGAUGCUCACUGAAGCAUUUAGGGAUGAAGUAUCAUAUUUGCAACUUACUUCAAACUUUUUAAUAUAUAUGGAGAGAAACCAAAUCUGGCAAAAUGUUAAAUAUUAAGUCUAGGUAAAGGGUAUAUGAAUGCUCCUGUCCUCUUCUCUCAACUUUCCAGCUUGAAUUUUUUUCAAAAUAAGGACUUGGGGAAGAAGAUUAAAAACAAAUUGCUACCCUAAAACUAUGUUACAGUAGAACCUACACACCAAUUAGUCUUUUAAAAGGUUUCAAAAUAAAUAAAUUUUCUGGUAAAACUAUGCUAUAGUCCCACCUACACUCCAAUUAGUCUUAAAAUAAAAAUGGCAAUAAGGACUUCAAAGAAACUAAGUGUUAGGACAUGGUUUUGGAUGCGACUUUCUGAUGUUUUUCAACAUAAACUAAUUACAUCUGUAGGACAUGUGGAUAUUUUUAAAAAAUCACAGUCAGUUCAAUAUGGAUUACUCUUUCUUACUUCUAGAAAAACUGGAUCCACAAGAGUUGUUCUACUCUUCAAAAAGUGAAAUUAAUUUAAAUUGCAAGAGAAAAGUCUAACACUUUCAUACACGCAUUCCAAAUUUUAAGCCUUAAGUUUGGCAAAUACACUUAAUUCUGUCACAAAGAAAUGUUUGUAUGAAAGGGGCAACCCACACACUAAAUGCCAAACAAAAAUGUGCUACAAUGUAUUAACUAUGGCGCCAAGACUACAAGACAUUUUAACAAUGUAAACAGUCCCUCCAAACAUCAAUGCAAACUGCACACAUCUGAAAUGUAGGUAAUAAGUUUGAGCUAGUGUCAAAAGGAUCCAUCCCAAAAGUUCUUACAUUCCCUUUACUCUGCUGCUAAAUUUUUCCAUAGGUGUUACAUUUCAAUCUAUAAGAAAAUCUGUGUCUAGAACGUCUGAACUAAAAGCUCUUAACUUUUCGCUUCCUACCAGACCGGCCCCACGCAAUGGACCCCACCUCCCAAGGAGGGUGAUGGGGUGAGGCUGUUUCCCGCUCACGAACUAAGAAAGAAAUGUCCCUUUCCUACUCCAGGAAAAAGAGAAGCCAAAAAGCUGCAGACUCGAAUAUGCAACUGACUACAAGGAGAUUGGCCUUUCAUUCAUUGGAUCGACUGGCCAGUACUGUGUGAUCAUUGCUUGAGCCCGAAGUGCUAAACUAAAAUGCAGGUGUUCAAGAAGCGCUGCGUUUGAUCCUAAUUAAGUAGCAGAGGUCGAGGGGGAAUUAAGGCUUCACUCCAGUGCGGACGUGUUAACAGAUAUGGAGAGGAGGGGGCUUAAUGAAGUGGAAAAGAGCUAGCCAAGAUAUCGGUGAUUUAGUUUAUUCCUUAAGAUGCGCCUGGAAAGGCAGCCAGAUCCAAAGUCAUUUUGCACUGCCAAAGAAUCAUCUGAAGGGUAAAGUUUUUUUAAUUUCGUUGUUGAAACCGUAAAAUGCUACCAGGGUUGACUAAGUCACCUUGGAGUAGUAGAGAGUUAAGGAUACUGAUUCCCCUCGAACUAGCUUCAAGCUAGUGCUUAACAUUGGCUCGUUGAACUCGCCAUCACGGGAAAUCCUCAAAUCUUAGGAGCCGAAGAGGACCUGGCAAGGAUACUAAGAGCUGCUGCAAUAGGCAAGGUCAGACUAGAUACUGACUAGGGCCUCUCACAUAUGUGUCAUUUCAUUAAUAAUCGACAGUAAAGCUUAAGUUUUAAACGUGGCAUUCCAUCGAUAAUCUACAAUUUUUCACGUUAUACGAGCUAUUUUUACCCUUGAUUAUUUUUUCUCUCCAGAUCCUGAAUUCCAUCCAUAGCAUUCUUUGCAUCAUUAAUCAUUAAAUAAUAUGUGCAGUAGCUUUGCUCUUUUAAGUUAUUUAUCCAGAUAUUUUACCAUUUUCAAAUGUUCUUCCCUAACCCUCCUUGAAAGGUGAGUGCUAAGUAAGAUGUUUCCCAGUGGAAAUAUCUGGGACUAAAGCUUGGGCUUUCCAGCUCCUAUCUCAAAUGCCCUCUCCUUUUGCCUGAGUCAUAAAUAAGGUUUUAGGAGUCAAACCCUGGAAUACGCUUAAUUUCUGUGUGCUCUCUUCAAAAGUUUCAUUAAUAUCUAUAGGAAACCAUGUUUUAGUUUGGGACUAUGGCCAUUUUUUUAAUGUCAAAAAAAUAAAACUAAGAACAAACUUAGAAUUCAUAAAAACACUUGCUAUUUUGUAAUAACCUUUGAACGAGAGAUCUUUCAACUAUCUGAACUAUUAAAAGGUGGAAAAAUCGCUUAACUUCAGGUGAUAAUUUUAGCUACUAACUUGGGUUUCCAAAUCUCUAGCUUCAUAUCCAAAAGUCUCUACAGCAAUAUUAUUUGCUAUGAUUUCCUAAAUUUCUCCUGUAAGUAAUAUACUAUUUUCUCCUUAAGGGAAGAAAAUUUCUGGUCUUUGAAACAAACUAGUUCCCACCGGAAGCUAAGUACCUAAAUAGAUGAGCCAGCUAUAUAGUUUGGCAAGUGUUAUAUUCUUUUGGUUGAUGACAAAUAAAUAGCAAUCUUUAAGACUCAGUAAAAUCUAGUCUGAGUCAACAUUUAUCUGAGUCAGAUCCUAGUUAAAAUGCACCUACAGAUAACAGACCACACAGUGACUUAUGACCCGAACUCAAUAAUAAAAUAUUUACUCUGAAAGCGCACCCCUAUGUGACAAAUGAAGAUCCCAUUUAUGCUGUGAAUGACAGCUAUGCAGGAAGUUAACACACCCAAAGCUAGAUGACAAUGAUAAUGAUGAUGAUGGUGAUGAUGAUAAUGACCAUGGUUAGUUCGUUCACUUUGCCCCAUGUUAUUUGCACCCCUGCUGUCAUGUCACUGUACCCCAUGUAUCCCUAUUAUCCCAUAUCCCAUGUAUGCCCUUCCAAAAAAAGUAACCAAAAAUAAAUAAUUUAUCUCACAAAAUUUAAUUUUACAAAAGGGAUAUGUAGAGUGAAAUUUCUCCAUCUUCACAUAUGUAACAUGUUCUCUAUUAACAUUUUUAUGUCUUCAUUAUUAAGUAUUUAAAAUGUAUGGAAAUAUGACAGAAAAAUCUAUGUAUUUGCCACCCAGAUUUAACAAAUGCUACCAUUUUGUAAUUGCCUCUGAUUGUGUUUUAAAUAAUAACUUGCAGCUACAUCAGGCACUGCAUCUUUCUCCAGAUCCUGGAUUCGAUGUAUAAUAGUCUCAUGCGUCAUAAAUCAAUAAACAUAUGCAGUGCUUUUACAUUUUA